rnacentral:rRNA from 1 species
UGGGGAAUUUUGGACAAUGGGCGAAAGCCUGAUUCAGCAAUGCCGCGUGUGUGAAGAAGGCCUUCGGGUUGUAAAGCACUUUUGUCCGGAAAGAAAUCCUUGGCUCUAAUACAGUCGGGGGAUGACGGUACCGGAAGAAUAAGCACCGGCUAACUACGUGCCAGCAGCCGCGGUAAUACGUAGGGUGCAAGCGUUAAUCGGAAUUACUGGGCGUAAAGCGUGCGCAGGCGGUUUGCUAAGACCGAUGUGAAAUCCCCGGGCUCAACCUGGGAACUGCAUUGGUGACUGGCAGGCUAGAGUAUGGCAGAGGGGGGUAGAAUUCCACGUGUAGCAGUGAAAUGCGUAGAGAUGUGGAGGAAUACCGAUGACGAAGGCAGCCCCCUGGGCCAAUACUGACGCUCAUGCACGAAAGCGUGGGGAGCAAACAGGAUUAGAUACCCUGGUAGUCCACGCCCUAAAACGAUGUCAACUAGUUGUUGGGGAUUCAUUUCCUUAGUAACGUAGCUAACGCGUGAAGUUGACCGCCUGGGGAGCACGGUCGCAAGAUUAAAACUCAAAUGAAUUG